GGCAGAGGGAGCCCGGCUCCCGUGCCGCGAGGCAUGAGGAAAGUCCCCCCACCCGUUCGGGCACGCGGCCGGACGCAAGUCCGGGGCGGGAGACCGCCGGCACUGGAACAGAGACGACACGUCCCUCCGACACCGAUGAGGCGUGCGACCCGACCCGGAAGGGGAGGAAGCUAACCCGCCGAGGGAAGCGCGGCUCUGCCGCGUUGAGGCGAACGGCGUCAGCCGUGAGCCAGUGUGGGAUUCCCACCAGAGCGGAGGGGAGCGAUGGAACGGCCAACCCCCGCCGGUGCAAGUCCGUGCGUGCGAGGUAGCCCGAACCACCCGAGAGGGGCCGCGCGGACGCUCAGCCGAAUGCCGGGCCGAACAGAAGGGGGCUUACUCCCCUCAGCU
rnacentral:RNase_P_RNA from 1 species